UCUGUUAAACAUUGCCAUGUGUUGAUAAAGUAAAGAGUGGUCCAAUCACAUUUCAUGCAAAAUGACACAUUCCAAGAUUUAACUUUCAAAAACUUCAUCUUUCUUCUCCAUCACAACAUCACGGCCGAACACCUCAAGAACACACACACUUCAAAUUUUUCAAACUUAUUUCUUGAACAUCAUGGCCAUUCCAAGCUAGUUUCGGGUUGGUUAGAAGAUCUAAAGUUGAUUUCAAGGUGAUUUCAAAGAGGAACAAGCUUGUUUUCAUCAAGAUUCUCAUCAUAAAAACCCACUUUGUUCUUGAAAGGUAAAGAGUAUGGUACAAAUAUGGUUAUCCUACAUUAUGUACGCUAUAUUGUGAGCUGUACAAGUGUCCUGAUUCAGUUCGGUUUAAGAAGGUUAAAUCAGACAAUUAACCUAACCAUCAGAGGGCAAAUUCGUCUCUUCAUUCAUUCAGCGAGAAGUUUGUUACACUGAUAUCCCGACUAGCACUGGACGAACAGAAGAUGAUUUUGAAGAAAAUCGACCGAUCGGUGAUCAUGCUCAAUUAUCUGCUUAUCAGAGAGUUUCGAUUGAGGAUGUUUUAAAUCCGCGACCUGCAAAUCCAAUUCCAAUUCCAGUUUCAAGUUCAAGUGCUGCAAACGAGAUUUCUAUUGAUGAAAGGGUUUACACUCCGGAGGUUCAGGCAUCAGCUACACCUGUUGUUGGAAUGCAAUUUAUCUCUAUUGAACAAGCAUACGCGUUUUAUCAAUCAUAUGCUAAGUUAGCUGGUUUUUCUAUUCGGAAAGGUGGUGAAGUAUACAGUGGUGGUAUAAUCAAAACUAAGUAUUUUGUUUGUUCUAAAGAGGGACAUAAGCCUCUGUGUAUUGAUGAUCAAUCGAAGUCAAAAAAGCAAUUCAAAACAAGGAACAGGGGGACUAUUAGGACCGGAUGCAAAGCUCAACUUAUGAUUUGCACUCUGGAUGGUAGAUUAUAUACAGUAAAGAAAUUUGUUGAUGGCCAUAAUCAUAAGUUUGUAUGUCAAAAUGACAUUCACAUGCUCCCA